AAAAAACACUUCAAUAUAGAAGGCUAUUGUUGAUUGAUUUGGUCAUAUAUUUUCAUAGUUCUUCAUGUUUUUAAUAUGAGAGGAGGUCAAUAUAGAGAAAAAGAGCCGCGAAGAGUCAAAUAACUAGAAAUGUAGUAUUCUCUGCCAGCUGAAUAAGUAGUAAAUUGUAAAUUCAAUGAGAUUUAUAGUUGCACCCACUAAAUUUAAGAAGGAAAAUAGAUCUUGUUCAGUGGUGCACCCGGCUUAAAAAUGCAUGACAAUCGCUUCUUUUGAAAAUCACACUUUUGAAAACGGGCAUCCAGCAUGGAGACUAACUCAUGAAACAAACUAAGCAAUGUUCUGAGCUUGAAUCAUGAACUCCUCACAUCAUCUAUUUUAUUAGGAUCUAUAUUGUUAUUUAUUAUUAUUUAUUUAUAUAAGUUGUAGUAGUCAAAGAACUUAAAGUAUCUUCAAAAUUAAUUUAAAAUAAAUACGGUAUGCAUUUACAUUGGAAAUUUGACUGCAAAGUGAAGACAAGAGUUUUCUUAAAUCCAUACUUUGGUGGAGGGUGGAUGUUGAAGAUUAUUUGUGGGCGUGGUGGAGCCCACUCAAGGUUUCCUCUGACCCGGAUCCUGAGUUUGUAGAUGUCGGCGUGCUCCCCAUCAUCAGAAGCAAUGAAAAGCCACUCACAUUGACUCGGAGCUGAGAAAGGACCUGCUGCUGGAGCCAGCACUACGCUUAAUGUCUGCAUCUGGUAAACAAAGCAAAAAUGUGACAUUUAAAGGGAACAUCAUGUGGGGACGACGAUCCACUGGAUUUGUUCCCAAUAAAAACUGAAACCGGUCAGUAUAAUCAUCUGAAAGCCCUAGGUACCUCAUAAAAAUAUGUAACCAUGAAUGAAAGUCCAAAGGAAACACUAACAAGAUGAAUGUCAGGAUGGAAGCAACACAAAAUUACAGAACGAUGGAUGGCACAACAUGAUUGAUAGUUGAAGAAUGUCAGUCAUGAUUUUCCCCAGAAUUCCAACACAAUCGAAACACAUUAAUGGUUAACACUUGGAUCACUGAAGCGUUGAGCAACAAGCACGGCGAAAAGAGGAGUUAGCUGGCUGGAAUCCAAAAUGAAACACACUUGCCUGGUAUUGAAAAUUGUGAACCGCAAUAACAUAAAAGAUGAUUAAAACCCAGCUAAAAAUGACCUAUGAAACAGUGAUUUAGAUCACACAGUGAAAGAUAUCGUCCGAUUUGUUUAGGUUCACACCAACAAAUGUGUCUGUGGUAGCUUGAUAUAACACUCAGGCAGGCGUUUUUCAGUUUGGUGUCGAGCCAUCAGUUUCCUCUCAGCGAUGCAGCAAUUUCUGUUUGACCUCGCUGACGGAUACCUGAGAACAGGGAGGCGAGUGACAGGGAGAGACCGUUCCGAGACACUGCCAGCAUGGAGGCACCCCCACAGCCAUCUGAGAGAUAGGAAAACUCAGCUCCACCUUCACCGCCAGCACAAACAUUUCAAACAAACUCACAGCAGAGCACCCGUGCAAACCCUCCAUUUAACUCAAGCCACACAUAAAAUACAUGCAGUCAGAUCCAAAGCACAGCAUGCUGAUCACAGUGCCUUCCUGCAUUAUUGAAAAAAGCAUUGA